rnacentral:rRNA from 1 species
CGGGGGACAGGGUGACAGGUGGUGCAUGGUUGUCGUCAGCUCGUGUCGUGAGAUGUUGGGUUAAGUCCCGCAACGAGCGCAACCCUCGCCUCUAGUUGCCAGCAUUCGGUUGGGCACUCUAGAGGGACUGCCGGCGACAAGUCGGAGGAAGGUGGGAUGACGUCAAAUCAUCAUGCCCCUUAUGACCUGGGCUACACACGUGCUACAAUGGGCGGUACAAAGGGCUGCGAACCCGCGAGGGGGAGCGAAUCCCAAAAAGCCGCUCUCAGUUCGGAUUGCAGGCUGCAACUCGCCUGCAUGAAGCCGGAAUCGCUAGUAAUCGCGGAUCAGCAUGCCGCGGUCGAAUACGUUCCCGGGCCUU